UGCUAUGAACGUUUCAUUUAAUACAUGCCU
rnacentral:piRNA from 1 species